ensembl:lncRNA CARMN cardiac mesoderm enhancer-associated non-coding RNA
GGCCAGGGAGCCGCAGGCAAGGGACUAAGGGGAGGGGGGCUCAGUGCCAGCUGCUUAAAAAUGCCCCUGUGGCAGCGAGGGGCACCAGAGGCUGGGUCUAAUUAGUUGAGAAGCAGUGACACCCCCAACCACUCCCCAAACAGGCUGGCUCCCGUCUCCAGGCCCCAAGGAGCCACACCUGGACCAGACCCCAGGAAAGGCAAGGGCGCUAGCUGGUGGGAGCCACCCCGCCAUGCUGAUGUCAGAGAAGCAAGAACUCUGGAGAAGCAGCCUCCUGGGACCAGAGGAGGGCCAGCAGCAGGCAGCCCGGAGACAGAACUCUCACCCACGCCUCUCCAAGCCUCCCAACAGAAGACAGAGGUCCCCCACAGCCAGAGACAUUUCCUGAAGACAUGGGGAACACAGAGGCAGAAACAGCCCAUCCACCCAGGAGCUGUCCCCCACACUGCCGGGAGCCGGCACCCAGAGCCGCCAGGUAAAACUGAGGCCACCUGGUUCAACAUCACCUUUCACAGAAGGGGAAGCAGCCACAGAAAGAAGGGCCUCGUUAAGAAGUGGAACCUGGGACCCCCAAGCGGUGUCUCUCAUCCUGACUGGGGAUCCAGAGUAGGAGGGAGCCUUUGGUGGGGGGAGAUGCUAUCUUUGCUGCAAUAAUCUUAGCCUACAUCUUGGAAUGGAAAUGGCCUUGGUGGAAAUGGUCUUCAACUCCUCUGGUCCAAGCUCAGGCCCUGUGACCCUGGAACAAUCCCCUUCCUGGUCCUCCAUGUAGGAGCAAUAACAUUCCCUUGCCAGCAGCACCAGCCAUUCUGAUGAUUAAAUGGUAUCGGACUCUGUUUUCCAAACUCA